rnacentral:rRNA from 1 species
AUGAACGCUAGCUACAGGCUUAACACAUGCAAGUCGAGGGGCAGCAUGAACUUAGCUUGCUAAGUUUGAUGGCGACCGGCGCACGGGUGAGUAACACGUAUCCAACCUGCCGAUGACUCGGGGAUAGCCUUUCGAAAGAAAGAUUAAUACCCGAUGGCAUAGUUCUUCCGCAUGGUAGGACUAUUAAAGAAUUUCGGUCAUCGAUGGGGAUGCGUUCCAUUAGGUUGUUGGCGGGGUAACGGCCCACCAAGCCUUCGAUGGAUAGGGGUUCUGAGAGGAAGGUCCCCCACAUUGGAACUGAGACACGGUCCAAACUCCUACGGGAGGCAGCAGUGAGGAAUAUUGGUCAAUGGACGAGAGUCUGAACCAGCCAAGUAGCGUGAAGGAUGACUGCCCUAUAGGUUGUAAACUUCUUUUAUACGGGAAUAAAGUGAGGCACGUGUGCCUUUUUGUAUGUACCGUAUGAAUAAGGAUCGGCUAACUCCGUGCCAGCAGCCGCGGUAAUACGGAGGAUCCGAGCGUUAUCCGGAUUUAUUGGGUUUAAAGGGAGCGUAGGCGGACGCUUAAGUCAGUUGUGAAAGUUUGCGGCUCAACCGUAAAAUUGCAGUUGAUACUGGGUGUCUUGAGUACAGUAGAGGCAGGCGGAAUUCGUGGUGUAGCGGUGAAAUGCUUAGAUAUCACGAAGAACUCCGAUUGCGAAGGCAGCUUGCUGGACUGUAACUGACGCUGAUGCUCGAAAGUGUGGGUAUCAAACAGGAUUAGAUACCCUGGUAGUCCACACAGUAAACGAUGAAUACUCGCUGUUUGCGAUAUACAGUAAGCGGCCAAGCGAAAGCGUUAAGUAUUCCACCUGGGGAGUACGCCGGCAACGGUGAAACUCAAAGGAAUUGACGGGGGCCCGCACAAGCGGAGGAACAUGUGGUUUAAUUCGAUGAUACGCGAGGAACCUUACCCGGGCUUGAAUUGCAACUGAAUGAUGUGGAGACAUGUCAGCCGCAAGGCAGUUGUGAAGGUGCUGCAUGGUUGUCGUCAGCUCGUGCCGUGAGGUGUCGGCUUAAGUGCCAUAACGAGCGCAACCCUUAUCGAUAGUUACCAUCAGGUUAUGCUGGGGACUCUGUCGAGACUGCCGUCGUAAGAUGUGAGGAAGGUGGGGAUGACGUCAAAUCAGCACGGCCCUUACGUCCGGGGCUACACACGUGUUACAAUGGGGGGUACAGAAGGCAGCUACACGGCGACGUGAUGCUAAUCCCUAAAGCCUCUCUCAGUUCGGAUUGGAGUCUGCAACCCGACUCCAUGAAGCUGGAUUCGCUAGUAAUCGCGCAUCAGCCACGGCGCGGUGAAUACGUUCCCGGGCCUUGUACACACCGCCCGUCAAGCCAUGAAAGCCGGGGGUACCUGAAGUGCGUAACCGCAAGGAGCGCCCUAGGGUAAAACUGGUGAUUGGGGCU